UGUCCUGUUGAAUUGUAUUUUUACUUCAAAAAAGGUUUCAUUUGACUUUUUCGUGUUUCCUGUAAUACUCAAGACACAAACUUUGCAUAUAUUUUGGUUUGACUGUAUAUGUUUCUCGCUACCUUUGUUUAGUCUCCAGAGUAAUGAUCCAGGAGAUUCAGGAAUAAAAUUACAUCUGUGGUUGAGAGGAAACCAAACUGCAAAAUACAGGGACUGGAGUAAGUAGAAGAAUGUGAGAUGUUUAUAAUGGCUAGAUAUCUGACAAUGUACACUUAAUAAAAUGUGUGCAAGUUUAAGCAUAUCAGGAAUGACAUUAAUAGCAAACAGUGGAUGUGAAAUUGGACAAGAGUGGAGAGGUAAAACAGAUGGCAUCAUAUUUGCCAGCUCUUCCAGGCCUACCCAGUAAUCAAACUCCGAAUUGAUUGAACCUAAAAUCCGGCUGUGCAUGGUACAGAAGAAUUGGGCAAUCUCCUGUAUUCUGUGUCUGUACCAGUGAAAGGACUGUAUGUGACUGAGGAAUACAAACUGUAAAAUACACACACUGCAGGAAGUACCAGCCUUUGUGGCAUUGUGUUUGACAUUGUCUGACAAUGUACUGUAUCAGCAACGAUUAAAAAGCAGUGGAUUUCUUCAUAUCAACAAUACUUUAUUCACAGUACUCAGUGAGAAUGAUAAAUUCGGUACAUUGCAAUUAAUAAAAAUGGUAUAGUAUUGGUAUUGUUAAAUAAGGUGCACUUUUGUUAGAAUUGAUAAUCGUACAAAUAUACUUCUAUCAGUAACAUUGUUCUGUAAAGACUGUACAUAGCUGCACUUUCCUUGUCCAUACUGAAUUUUAUACAUGCUAUCUUUUCUGCUUUCCAUUAUUUCCCUUGUUUGAUCCAAUUUCUAGCAUUAUUGGUGUCCGUGACAGAUUCUGGGACCUAGGAUCUCAUCUCUGCUCUCAUGGCACAUUGAUCAGUAAUGGACCUGGCCCAAAGGUCCAAAUGAACAACUGUUUGUAGCUCUGGGGAUUCCAAACUGUAAAAUAUAGAUUCUGAGGGUAUGUUCUACUGCCUUCUCAGAGCUUUGUGCUGAGAAACUUGCCCUUGCUUUCAGUACAAACCAGUCACUGAUGGAGUUGUCCAUCUCAUUAAACAUCUUAACCAACAAUUCUGUCCCCUCAUUGUUCCACCGUGUACAAACUGCAGAGUCUGCAAUGGAUCAAAUUGUGGGGAAAUGGAGUUCACUCCAAAUGGCAAGUCGCUCCCAUCCAGACUGAGAGGGACUGUGUGAAUCUUGGAAGUUAUGAGCAUCACCACUGUUGUCAUUUGAAUAUUUUUCGCUGAUUCUGCACCCUACCCCACUUCCUUCAACCGGCUGUGUUCAAGGUUGAAAUUCUAUUGACCAUUUCCCAGUCUCCACUCGAGAUAAGGGAGGGCCAUCUCUCAUUGUGAGGUCAGAGGCCCAGUCAUAGGGUCAUGAGACUCAGGGGCCCGGACUCGGUGUGGUUUCUACAGGAUAUCUUUGCCUCAUUGUGACCUGCUGGGGACAUGCAUUGGCAUGAAGAAGCCAGAGUGGGACUCUGACUGGACUGCAAUGGAACAGUGACAGUUACACUCAAUAUUCGUGUGUCUGUGGGGUACAUUACUCCAGGUUCCUGCUCAGUACCUUGCCCAGUAAGCCUGCUGGAAGGUUUAGAUUACUUACAGUAGUGGAAACAGGUCCUUCGGCCCAACAAGUCCACAUCGAUCCUCUGAAGAGCAACCCA